AAAUAUAGUAUGGUUAUGCAAAAGCCCGCCGGCGGGUUAACUUCUAUUGCUGAAUUAAACGAGGCUCUAUCUCUCCCUCUCUCCGAACUCCAUCGCCAUCGUUCUUCAAUCCUGCAUCCGGUCGUCCAGUGGUUCUUCCGCACGCUCUAAGCUCCAGAUUGAUCCAGUUCGAGGAAUGGCGAAAGGUAUCAUAUGGGCAACAGCAGAGGAUUUAGCGAGGAACAGAGGGCGUGUUAUAUCUCUUUAUCGCCAGAUAUUGCGGAGCCUCAACUCCCCAAAUUUGCCUCUCAGCUUCGCAGCUAGAUUAGCAAAGAAGGCAGAGGUUCGUGGCAUUUUCUUGCUUGCUUCUGAAGAGCGAUCUCUUCACAAUAUUGAAGACCUCAUUGACACUGCUGAGUACUCACUCUCUCUAUUAAGGAAGGGAGAAAUUCCCAAAUACAUUCAAUGAGUAACACUUGAUUCUCUUAUGGCAAUUUUAUGUUAGAUGCCUCUUCACCUGCAUCAGUGAGUGAUACUUGUGCUUGCCCUUGCCCUAAAUUUCUUAUAGUUAACAUUUGGGUUCUGCUAUAAUGUUUUGUAUUGAAUGCUAUGCAAAGGAAAUUCAUCCACUUGAUGUUAACCUAUGCAAACAUUAAGGUUUAGAUUCUAUUUUGAUCCUUGGAGUUGUGUCUCUAUAUAUAUGUUGGCCCUUUCAAAUGUUCUUUUAAGUAUUUGGUUAAAAAAGUUUAAAACCCAUGCAAACCAAAUUAUUUUAGUUGAAAACCAUUAAACCACUCUCAGUGUUGUUAUGGGGAUUUUGUUUUCCUAUAUUUGGAACUCUGUGGCUCUGAAAUUUUAUGGGAAGUAUUGCAUUUUAAUUAUGCUAGUAGAAGAGUUUUUUUUCCAUUAUCAUGGUGGAUAGGGGCGUGGGAACAGCAGCAAACUUACAGAAGAGGGGCUGGGCUGCUCACAUUAAUGGCAAAAGCAACAGCAAACUCAGUGGUUUUCCACUCAAAAUAGGUAUAAAAGAAUUACUGUGAUAUGUGUACGUAUUCUACCACGAGGAAUCCGGGUACGUUGGGCUAUUCGAGCAAGUUUUUUAGUUAAAAGAAUUAUUCGCUUUCUAGAUGGAUGAUACAAUUGUAGACAUGUUCUUUUGACCCAUUCAGUCUGAUUGGGACAUGAAUUUGAGACUUGGUCGAGAAUCUCUCUGUUAAGGCUGAA